GUCUUCCCUCGUGAGCCAGCAUGUCGCCCGGAGCCUGGAGGAAGUGAGGCCGGAAAAAGCGCUCCUGGGUUUGCUCACUUUCAACUUCCUGUAUGCGGGCUCGCACCCUGGAAAACAAAAAGAGACCGUUGAGCGAACAAGACAUCAGUGUGAGCUCCGGGAAACUGUGAGACACCCUCACCCUGAAAGUCCCAUCAAGUGGAAAGAGGAACUGGCACUUUGCGUUCGGGGCCGCUAGGUGGCGCACUAUCCACACUCGGAAGAUACGGAUGUGAGCAUCUGGCAGGUGUGUUAUGAAAUAACAGAGAUGCGUGGUCACUGUUUUUUUCAUCAUUCUUGUUUUUUUACUGAGAACCCCAGGAGAAAUAACAACUAUAACGAUGUAAAAAUUUCUUAUUUUCCUUAAAUCGUAAACAAAACAUUACCUUGUAAAUGGCAUGUGAAUUAUGUUGGCGUAGACAUUUAUCCGACACAUUGGCUCAAAUAUGUCUAUCUACCAACACUUAAUCUUUACAGGCAGCAGACUCCUCUGUAUGAUGAAGGAAACUGUUUUUAACUUUAUACUCUCUGAAAACUGACAUAAACAACAAAACCGAUUUUAUAAGAAGGAAAACAAAAAGUGCCGUUUUUCAAUGUGGACUCAUUGAAUACAGUAUAUUCCUAAGGCUUAAUAUCACAACUUAGUAUAACUUUGUACAGAUAAAAUAAUCUACUCUUCGAUGAGUAUGGUCACAUCGGAGUAUAAAAAUAAGAGGCUUGACCAUAAAAAGUAGCUGCCACAUGUCAGAAGGAACACCUUGUCAAUAUUUUUUUCUCCUCCAAGAUUUUAAACGACAGGUUAAACAAACAAAGCUUAUGACAACGUAGGAGCGUGUUGAUAAAAGUGUUCUUUGGUCUAAAAAUUAAAGAGUACUGUUCCUUCCUUCCAGCAUUUACCCUCAUCAAAGAGCACAGCUGAACUUUUGAAUAUUGCAAGUUAGACAAAUGCCUUCAAGUAAACCAUCUGAAGAUUUAUGUAUGUGUCUGAAACUCAUAGUACCCACUAUUUAGCAGGCAGUAGGGCUUACAUAUUUACAUGUUUCCCAAAUGGUAACAUGAACAUGAACCAGCUGUAAAACACAUGUGGACUGAUAUUAACAUCUGAAAUUUGCUUGUAAUGACUGCAAUUUAGGGAUUAAAGCUUAAUCUAGUGUUGCGUUUGUGGUACGUCGCAGAAGUCGAGAGCAUGAAAUGAGAAAAAAAAAAAAAAAAAAAAUCAGAUUAGCACGUGGAAAGAAAUCCUUAAACAAAAAGAAAAUAAAAGACACAACUACUGCAUUCUAUUU